UCUCCGUAGGUGAACCUGCGGAAGGAUCAUUAUUGGAUUUUGAAACUUCAGGCUGCUGCUGGCUCUCCUCGGAGGGCAUGUGCACGCUUGUUGCCCAUUAUUUCUCCCACUGUGCACAAAUUGUAGACCUUUCAGUAGGCCUAUGUUGUUUUUCACAAUCUCUGAAUGUAAUAGAAUGGUUUUGAAUCUUGGGAAAUACAAUACAACUUUCAGCAACGGAUCUCUUGGCUCUC
rnacentral:misc_RNA from 1 species